GUGCUCACUUUGGCAGCACAUAGCCUAAAAUUGGAACAAUACAGAGAAGACUAGCAUGGCCCGUGCACAGGAGGACCACUUUGGCAUAAUGGUAGUGUUCCUGCCU